rnacentral:tRNA from 1 species
UAAUUUUUAAUUUAAUUUAAAAUAUUUCAUUUACAUUGAAAAAAUAAUUUUUUAAUUAAAAUUAA